rnacentral:rRNA from 1 species
AUUGAACGCUGGCGGCAUGCCUUACACAUGCAAGUCGAACGGCAGCACGGGAGCAAUCCUGGUGGCGAGUGGCGAACGGGUGAGUAAUAUAUCGGAACGUGCCCAGUCGUGGGGAUAACGUAGCGAAAGCUACGCUAAUACCGCAUACGAUCUAUGGAUGAAAGCGGGGGAUCGCAAGACCUCGCGCGAUUGGAGCGGCCGAUAUCAGAUUAGGUAGUUGGUGAGGUAAAGGCUCACCAAGCCGACGAUCUGUAGCUGGUCUGAGAGGACGACCAGCCACACUGGGACUGAGACACGGCCCAGACUCCUACGGGAGGCAGCAGUGGGGAAUUUUGGACAAUGGGCGCAAGCCUGAUCCAGCAAUGCCGCGUGCAGGAUGAAGGCCUCGGUUGUAACUGCUUUGUACGACGAACGGUGAGNUCUAAUACAGUUUGCUAAUGA